rnacentral:tRNA from 1 species
GGAGAGGUGUCCGAGUGGUUGAAGGAGCACGCCUGGAAAGUGUGUAUAGGUCUAAAGCUUAUCGAGGGUUCGAAUCCCUCUCUCUCCGCAA